rnacentral:lncRNA from 1 species
UGACAAUAAGGAACAUGGAAAAAACAUGGAUAUGGAAUUUGCGUGCGUCCACCUUGAUUGUUUCAUUCAAAAGUAGAAGGAGAAAAGAGAAACAAUGGCUUAAAGCCAUGCAUAAACAGUCCCUUGUGCACUUUUUGAUGCAACGUGUCAUGCUGCAACAGGACUGACAGUAGGAUAUUUUCCUUCUUUAAAUGGUAUGGUAUGGAUAUCUGUUAUCCGUGUGUUUUGG